AGUCUCUUAAUUGGUGACUUGUAUGAAAGAUUGGAUGAAAUAUAUACUGUCUCUUUAAUAAUAAUAGAAUUUAAUUUUUUAAUUAAAAAGUUAAAAUAAAUUUAAAAGACGAGAAGACCCCAUAGAGUUUUAUAUAUUUAUUAAUUAAUAUUAUUUAUAAAUUAAUAAAAAUUAAAAUUAAUUUAAUAUAUUAUAUUGGGGUGAUAAAAAAAUUUAUUUAACUUUUUUUUUUAAUUAAAUUAACAUAAAUAAGUGAGUAUAAUGAUCCAAAAUUUUUGAUUAUAAGAUAAAAUUACCUUGGGGAUAACAGCGUAAUUUUUUUUUUUAGUUCAAAUAAAAAAAAAAGUUUGCGACCUCGAUUUUGGAUUAANAUAAAAUUUAAAUGC
rnacentral:rRNA from 1 species